rnacentral:lncRNA from 1 species
GCGUCCCUCAAUGGAAGCUCUCUGUAUAUAUAUAUAUAUUUAUACAUAUACACAUAGGUUUUGAAAAAACAUUUGGGCCCUUCUCAGCUUUGGGCCCCUGGCUGUAGCCCUAGUAGCCCUGGCCCAAGGCUGCCUAUGCACGUAUGUGGUGCAAUGAACAACUUCAUUCAAUCACGAUGACGUGCCUUAUUUUUGCACAACAUGAUUGUUGACGAUGAAUAUAAGG